CGGUAAUUCCAGCUCCAAUAGCGUAUACUAAAGUUGUUGCAGUUAAAAAGCUCGUAGUUGGAUUUCUGCGGGGACGGAGCGGCCGGUCGCAACUUGCGACUCGAGCUAGCGCUUUCCCCGCAUCCUGCCGCGAACCGUGCUACCAUUAGCUUGGUGGCGCUGGGGAUCGGCUCGAUUACUUUGAGAAAAAUAGAGUGUUCAAAGCAGGCCACACGCCUUGAAUAAGUUAGCAUGGAAUAAUGACUAAGGACUUCGGUUCUAUUUUGUUGGUGUUCGGGACUGAAGUAAUGAUUGAUAGGGACAGUUGGGGCGGUCUGUAUUCCAAAGCGAGAGGUGAAAUUCUUAGACCUUCGGAAGACAAACAGCUGCGAAAGCGUUCCGCAAGGAUGUUCCCUUUGAUCAAGAACGAAAGUUGGGGGAUCGAAGACGAUCAGAUACCGUCGUAGUCUCAACUAUAAACUAUACCAGCUAGGGAUCGGUCAACGUUUAAUCAUUCGACUUGAUCGGCACCUUAUGAGAAAUCAAAGCAUCUGGGUUCCGGGGGGAGUAUGGUCGCAAGGCUGAAACUUAAAGGAAUUGACGGAAGGGCACCACCAGCCGUGGAGCCUGUGGCUUAAUUUGACUCAACACGGGAAAACUUACCAGGUCCAGACAUAGUAAGGAUUGACAGAUUGAUAGCUCUUUCUUGAUUCUGUGGGUGGUGGUGCAUGGCCGUUCUUAGUUGGUGGAGUGAUUUGUCUGGUUAAUUCCGUUAACGAACGAGACCCCAGCCUGCUAAAUAGCGCGGCUGAGCUUUGCUCGGUGCGAGCUUCUUAGAGGGACUAUGAUGCGCGAUAGCACAUGGAAGUUUGGGGCAAUAACAGGUCUGUGAUGCCCUUAGAUGUUCUGGGCCGCACACGGGCUACACUGGCGCCUGCAACGAGCAUAUCAGCUGGCCCGAGAGGGUCUUGGCUAAUCUUUUGAACCGGCGCCGUGCUUGGGAUUGACCAUUGCAAUUGUUGGUCAUGCAACGAGGAAUGCCUUGUAAACGCGAGUCAUCAGCUCGCAUUGAAUACGUCCCUGCCCUUUGUACACACCGCCCGUCGCUCCUACCGAUGAAUGUUCCGAUGAAAUUUUCGGAGAGCGCCAGAGAACGGGGCUCCGCCUUGCAGAUCUGGAGGCUCAAAGUCACUUAAAUCUGAACAUUUCGAGGAAGGAGAAGUCGUAACAAGGUAACC
rnacentral:rRNA from 1 species